rnacentral:lncRNA from 1 species
UGUUGCCGGGGAAACGGUUGCUGAGUUGACUACGAACUAGCUUAAUCAUUUUCUAAAAAAAAAUAAAAAAAAUAUUUUCCUUUUAUCCUUUGCCUCAUCUCUACUAAUCUUUCUUUUUAUCUAAUCCUUGAUGUCUGGUCUAUCAUGAAUUUAAACAUGUCUAUCUAUGAAUUUCAUAGACCUACGGGCACACAUCUCGAACCACCAAAAUCUUCAAAGCCUAUCAUAGCAUCUAGUUUUGAGAUAGACCCC